GUCGGGCAUGGUGGCUCAUGCCUGUAAUCCUAGCACUUUGGGAGGCUGAGGUGGGUGGAUCACCUGAGGUCAGGAGUUCGAGACCAGCCUGGCCAACAUGGUGAAACCUCAUCUCUA
rnacentral:sRNA from 1 species